AAAAAAUUACCAAAAAAUUUGGAGUGAAAACACAAAAAAAUUCCCAAAAAAUUGGGGUGAAAACCCCCAAAAAAUCCCCAAAAAUUGGUUGAAAACCCAAAAAAUUCUAAAAAAAUUGGGGUGAAAAGCCCCAAAAAUUCCCAAAAAAUUGGUGAAAAAACCCAAAAAAAGUCAAAAAAAUUGGGGUGAAAAACCCCAAAAAUUCCCCAAAAAAUUCCAAAAAAAUCCCUCAAAAAUCCCCCAAAAAUUCCCAAAAAAUCCCCCCAAAAAUUCCCAAAAAAUUCCAAAAAAUUCCCAAAAAAUUCCCAAAAAAAUUCCCCAAAAAUUUUGGUUCCAGGACCACCCGGAGCGGUCAAUUCCUCGCUGGGGUUGGCGUUGGCGGCCGGAGAGGACGCGGCGUUGGUGUGUGGCCCCACCUCCCCCCAGGUGUGCGGGGUCAAUGUCCACCUCAACGGCUUCUGCGUCCAGCUGGACUCCGCCCUGCGGCCGGUCCGGAGCCUCCCGGAGAAAUUCCCAGAGUGUCCGAAGCUCUCGCUGGACAUCGCCUUCCUGGUGGACGGCUCGGGCAGCAUCGCCAGCAGCGACUUCGAGACCAUGAAGAGCUUCAUCGCCGAGGUCAUGCGGCGCUUCCGCCGCGCCGACGCCCAGGUAACGCCCACCUGGCCACCGCUGGCCACCUCCCUGGUCACCUCGGGGGUCACCUCGCUGGUCAGCUGGGCUGGGCUGGAGUGGUGGCCACCCCUGUGGUCAUCCUGGGUCAUUUGUGGUCAUGGGUGUGGAGUGGUGACCACCUCAAUGGUCAUCUUGGUCAUUGAUCUCCAUGGACAUUGACCAUUGACCACCCCAAUGGUCAUCUUGGUCAUUGAUCUCCAUGGACGUUGACCAUUGACCACCCCUGUGGUCAUCUUGGUCAUUGAUCUCCACGGACAUUGAGUGGUGGCCACCCCUGUGGUCAUCUUGGUCAUUGAUCUCCAUGGACGUUGACCAUUGACCACCCCAAUGGUCAUCUUGGUCAUUGAUCUCCACGGACAUUGAGUGGUGACCACCCCAAUGGUCAUCUUGGUCAUUGAUCUCCAUGGACAUUGAGUGGUGGCCACCCCAAUGGUCAUCUUGGUCAUUGAUCUCCAUGGACGUUGAGUGGUGGCCACCCCUGUGGUCAUCUUGGGUCAUUUGUGGUCAUGGGUGUGGAGUGGUGACCACCUCAAUGGUCAUUCAUGUCCAUGGAUGAUGAGUGGUGGCCACCCCUGUGGUCAUCUUGGUCAUUUGUUGUCCAUGGACGUUGAGUGGUGACCACCCCAAUGGUCAUCUUGGUCAUUGAUCUCCAUGGACGUUGACCAUUGACCACCCCAAUGGUCAUCUUGGUCAUUGAUCUCCAUGGAUGUUGACCAUUGACCACCCCAAUGGUCAUCUUGGUCAUUGAUCACCAUGGACGUUGAGUGGUGACCACCUCAAUGGUCAUUCACAUCCAUGGACAUGGAGUGGUGACCACCCCAGUGGUCAUCUUGGGUCAUUCAUGUCAUGGAUGUUGAGUGGUGACCACCCAGUGGUCAUCUUGGUCAUUCAUGUCAUGGAUGUGGUCACCCUCAAUGGUCAUCUUGCUCAUUGAUCUCCACAGACAUUGAGUGGUGACCACCCCUGUGGUCAUCUUGGGUCAUUCAUGGUCAUGGGUGUGGAGUGGUCACCCUCAAUGGUCAUCUUGGUCAUUCAUCUCCAUGGACGUUGACCACUGACCACCCAAUGGUCAUCCUGGUCAUUCAUCUCCGUGGACACCAAGUGGUGACCACCCAAUGACCACUGACCACCGAAGGUCAUCCA
rnacentral:lncRNA from 1 species